rnacentral:rRNA from 1 species
GCGUGCGGGAAGAAGGCCUUCGGGUUGUAAACCGCUUUUGUCAGGGAAGAAAUAUGCUGGGCUAAUACCCCGGCAGGAUGACGGUACCUGAAGAAUAAGCACCGGCUAACUACGUGCCAGCAGCCGCGGUAAUACGUAGGGUGCAAGCGUUAAUCGGAAUUACUGGGCGUAAAGCGUGCGCAGGCGGUUGUGCAAGACAGAUGUGAAAUCCCCGGGCUUAACCUGGGAACUGCAUUUGUGACUGCAUGGCUAGAGUGCGGCAGAGGGGGAUGGAAUUCCGCGUGUAGCAGUGAAAUGCGU